ensembl:lncRNA
UUCCUCAUAGGAGAGGUGCUUCAGCCCUCUGAUAUCUUAUAGGCCCUCUUCUGUACCUGUUCCAAGAGCUCUGCAUCUUUCUUGUACCAGAUGCCCCAGGCUUGAUUUGUUGAAAAACCAUUUGGAUGUGGUGCUCAGGGACAUGAUUUAGUGGUGGGGUGUUAGAGUUUGGGUUGCAUGGUUAGGUUGAGGUUGGACUUGAUGAUCUUGAAGGUGUUUUCCAACUGAGCAAUUCUAUGAAUUCUAUAUAUAACCAUGCUUCUGAUACAAGUCUCUUUCCAGGAAAAAUGCAAAUGCUGUUGAUCUGUUCGCUGUUUUCUGUUGAGCAAAGAUACUACAGGAAGGCAGUAUCUGUAUCCACUGUUUGAGAAAAUGCAUGUGAGCUGUAAAAUGCUAUCCAGUUUAUCAGGCACAAGAGCGGAUGGUGUACACUACAGACAAAUAUUUCAAAAGAAGCAGCCCAGAUGAAUUGUACACAAUAGUCCUGAAAGAGUGCUGAUGGCUUUUAGCAACAGUGAUAUUUAUUUGUUACACAACUGGAAUUUCUCUGGUGUUCUCAGGUGAUGCUCUGCCAGAUUCCCUGCUGAGGCAUCUGCAUCCCCUUGGCACAAAGCAUCCUUCAUGCACAUCAGGCACACAGAGAGAUGAUAUCUAUUGGCUCCAAGAGGCAAGGAAAGGGUUAUAAAAUUACACAGAGGAGGCAACUGCACGGCUCUCAACUGGGCUCCAGCCUGCAGUUCUGCAGGAGGUGUGAGAAGCUGAUCCGAUGGCUCCCUCUGGCUGUAGGCUCUGUGAGUGAAUCUGUAGAAAUGCAUCCUGUAGCUGCUCCAUUCCUGCCAGACAUCAGAAGAGCUGGGGAAUCUGUUUCUUUUCCACAUCUGCAAAAAUUCUGCUGCACAUCUUUGUCCUGGAGUUUUGGGGCAAUGCAGAAACAAGGAGCUGGUACUGAUCUGGUCAUCGCCCAGAGAUUCUUAGGAACAGAGGAGCUGGUGGACCCAGGUGUGCAAAAUGCUGAGCAGCCUGGUUUGAUGCCAUCACUGCCACUGCUUUGUGAAGAAGGUUGGACUAGAGACCUCCUGAGGUCCCCUCCAGCCUGGAUGAGUUUGUGAACAUAUUAAAGGGGGCAGGAAUCAUAGAAUCACAAGGUUGGAAAGGACUACAAGAUCAUCUAGUCCAAGUGUCCUCCCAUUACCAUUGCUACCACAGGCUAGUAAACCAUAUCUUGUAGCUCCUCAUCCUGACACCUCCUGAACACUGCCAGGGAUGGCGACUCCACCACCUCCCUGGGCAAAGAAGAAGAAACAGGAGAAGUCAUUAGCUGUAAAUGGUUUCAACACAAAGGAGCUGAAAGAUGAAUGAGGAAAAGCUGGAGAAAAUGACUGCUGGGGUUCCUGCUCUGCUCCCAGUGCUUGUCUGAGUCUGGGGGAAAGCAGAUGGUAGCAUAGGCCUACCUGAGGCACAAGGGUCUGGGGCCUGGUAAAGAUAAUUGGAACUCACAGCCUGGGGUGUCGGAAACGCUCAGAUAAAUCUCAGCAUUUCCUUCUAGAUUCAGACUCAUCUCAAUAUUUUUUUUCUACCAGUUCCAAACGAAAGAGGAAAUUAACAGAGCUGUUUGGAAGAGCAUCUGUAAAUGCUUUGGGCUGGCACAGCCAUGAGCCAUGGGAAAGGCUGUGAGGAGGGGCUGCUGCCAGGUCUGGAUGAGCUGACAAAGAAUGCAUGGGAAGGCCACCAGGUUUCUCAGCCACCCUGGUCUGGAGAAGCCCCCUCGUCGUCUGCAGCCAGUACUGCCUCAUCCCACAGUCCUCAGCAACAGUUCCUGGCCCUUCUGUCCCCUGUGCAUUUUGCUCAGCUCUGUCUGGUCUGGCUUGGAAGCAUGUGAAGGAGCAUGCAUGCAAUUUUUUCAGUGCACACAGUGACAUUCUGACAGUGUCACUGCAGCCAGAGUUUUACUCCAGCAGGACACAGCCACUCAGGGCUUCUGUGAUAAUAAAUCAGGAGGUGCCAGUGUGAGGGAAUUUUUCUGAAACGAUAUACACCCUGGUUUUGUGGUGGAGGUGCCAAAAGACUGGCAGCUGUAGCUCUGGAGAAACCAGAAAGGAAAAAAGCAAUCUGUACAAUCACUGCAGUUUCCCUCUGCUCAAUGACCACUGCCACUACAUCACAGAGUUGUGAAAUCGAGUGUCUGUGCUGCUCCCCUUGCUCCUUUUUUUAUUUACUUGCGCCUCAUUGUGGACAGUUAUUCACCCAAAAAGUUUCUCUGUGCUUCAUCAUGUUCCUGAAAUUUUCUGGAUGCUUGCUUAUCCUCCUAAGCAGAAGCAUUCACCCUCUUGUCAUGGUUGAAGACAAAAAGUGGUCCCUUGGGUCCCCUGAUCUGUACAGGGAUCCCAGUGAUCCUCUGGCAGCUUUUGUGGCUGGAAAGCCCCUGCUUUUAUGCCACCUGCCUUUCAGGAAUAUGUUUAUUUUCCCAAACAACAACAGAGGAAAAUUGAAAGUACUUUUCCCUGUUUUUGCCCCUACUUGUGCUCCUCAUUGAAAGUAAUUAAAUUAUUUGUC